CAUUGAAGCACCACUUCCAGUAUGAUCACUGAAGGUAAGCAACAUUGAGCCUGGUCAGUACCUAGAAUGGUGACUGCUUGGGAAUACCAGGUGCUGUAA
rnacentral:rRNA from 1 species